UACGUAGGAGGCAAGCGUUGUCCGGAAUUAUUGGGCGUAAAGAGCGCGUAGGCGGUCCGGUAAGUCGGCUGUGAAAGUCAAGGGCUCAACCCUUGAAAGCCGGCCGAUACUGUCGGACUAGGACCGGAAGAGGCGAGUGGAAUUCCCGGUGUAGCGGUGAAAUGCGCAGAUAUCGGGAGGAACACCAAUGGCGAAGGCAGCUCGCUGGGACGGUACUGACGCUGAGGCGCGAAAGCGUGGGGAGCAAACAGG
rnacentral:rRNA from 1 species